rnacentral:rRNA from 1 species
CCUACGGGAGGCAGCAGUGAGGAAUAUUGGUCAAUGGUCGGGAGACUGAACCAGCCAAGCCGCGUGAGGGAGGAGGUACAGAGUAUUGUAAACCUCUUUUGUCAGGGAACAAAGGCGGGGACGUUUCCCCGGAUGAGUCUACCUGCAGAAAAAGCAUCGGCUCACUCCGUCCCAGCAGCCGCGGUAAUACGGGGGAUGCGAGGGUUAUCAGGAUGUUUUGGGUUUUAAGGGGGCGAGGGCGGGUUGUUAAGUCUGCGGUACAAGCCCGGGGUCAAACCCGGGCCCGCAGUUGAAACUGGCAGGCUGGAGUUGGGGAGAAGUAUGCGGAAUGCGCGGUGUAGCGGUGAAAUGCAUAGAUAUCGGGCAGAACGCCGAUUGCGAAGGCAGCAUGCCGGAUCGAAACUGACGCUGAGGCACGAAAGCGUGGGUAUCGAACAGGAUUAGAUACCACAGUAGUC